AUGUGGACCCUAUUCUGUUCCACUGAGUAUGCCUGUUCUUCUACCCAAUGCCACACUGUCUUAGUUACCUGCGUCACACUGUCUUUAGUUACCUGUGUCACACUGUUUAGUUACCCCUUGUCACACUGUCUUCAGUUACCCGCGUCACAUUGUCUUAGUAACCCACCACACACUGUCUUCGGUUACCCGCGUCACACUGUCCUCAGUUACCCGCGUCACACUGUCCUCAGUUACCCGCGUCACACUGUCCUCGGUUACCCCGUGUCACACUGUCUUCAGUUACCCCGUGUCGCACUGUCCUCAGUUACCCGCGUCACACUGUCCUCAGUUACCCGCGUCACACUGUCCUCGGUUACCCCGCGUCACACUGUCCUCAGUUACCCCGAGUCGCACUGUCCUCAGUUACCCGCGUCACACUGUCCUUAG
rnacentral:lncRNA from 1 species